rnacentral:lncRNA from 1 species
CUUUUGGGAUAGCAUUGGAAAUGUAAAUGAAAUAAAUACCCAAUUAAAAAAUAUGAAAUGAAAAAAAAAAAGAAAGUUCCCUGUGUUUGCCUUACGUCAUACAUUUAAGCUUAGUGAAAUCUAUAAAGACUUUUUUGUAAGGGCAGUAUGUCCCCCUCCCCACCCCCCAACUUGUCAAACAUCCACUGGGCCACUGGAGAGGACACUUUCCUCUUGGGCAGGGAAGCAGCAAACUAGUCAUCAUUAUUCUAAGAAACAAUUUGAAAUUUGCUCUUCACAAAUAUAAAAGGCCUUAAUAACUAGGCCAACCUGUAACAAUCACUGCCACACGUCUUUGCAUGACAAAUGAACAAAGAUGUGAAUCCACUGUUCAAAAGCACCAGCAAACACAGAAACUCAUUACAAAAAAAAUGGGGGCUUGUCAUGUUUGGCACAAAAAGAAAAAAAGAAAAGAACCCACCAAAAUAACACCCCCUCUGCUCUGAAGUCUAAAUACCUUGUGAUCACUUGAACGAGUAACAUGGCCUAAAUGUUAAUGAAGCAAUUUGACUCACUCAGCAGGAUGAGCAACAAAAGGAAUGCUUUUCAAGACACAGCUGUCAACAAUUACAGUCAGUGGGCUGGCUGGCGCUGACUAUCAGUCAGCAUCUUAAAGCUCAGGCAAGUGUGGAGCCUAUUUGACAGGACCCCACCCCUGACUCCCGGCAAGACAGUAAACCCGCGGUUACUUGGCAGGCCAGGGAACGGAAUAUUCUGGCGAGCUGAGUACCUCCACCCAGCUCAGAAGUAAAUGACGGGGUUUUUAAUGGUUCAGAAUGAUCAAAACAAAACAAAAAAGCACUAAAGAUAGAUUCAGGCUUCACUCCAUCCUUCCUGCAUGUACUGGUUCAAAUACCAUUUCUAGGCCUUAGGAUUUCUUCUUUUUUAAAUAAAUUAAUUUUUAUGUUUAGUUUUAUGUGUGUGUGUAUUCUGCUUCGUGUAUGACUGUGCAUCACAUGUGUGCCUGGUGCCCAGAAGCCAGUAGAGGGUAUUAUAUCCUUUUAGACUGGAAUUACAGACAGUUGUGAACCUCCAUGGGUUCUGGGAAUUGAACCCAGGUCCUUUAAACGAGUAGUCAGUGCUCUUAACUGAUGAGGUAUCGCUAGCUCAUAGGUCUUAAGAUUUCAUAGUUAGAGAAUCUUCUCUUUGGAUGUGAACUUUCUGGUCCUUUUUAGAAAUAAAAGCUCCUUUAAGAAGGACGCUUCUUACCUAAACAGGUACUUCUAAAGAGUGUGUGUAUGUGUGUUCCUGAGAACACACACACACACAGAGGGGAUGGGGGUUGGGGUCAGGGGUAAAGUCUUUGCAGAAGGUACACUGUGGCCACUGACCCCAAAGAAUAAGACUUAGCUAAAGUGAAGGCACCAGAUUCUCUUUACAGGGAAAGUGGGUGACAGAAUCUGAAGACACCUCACAUCUUCCUCAGUUUCCCCUAAGAUGAGAGACAGAGAUUGGGGGUGGGGUCACGGUGAUACUCUCAGCAGCAAGGGAAGAAAGGAGCAGGGGUCAACACGAGCUGCAUAGUAAGUUCAAGGCAAGGAUGGGCUGCCUCAAGUAACUCUGUCUCAAAAUAAGCAAAUAAGCAAGCAACCCAAGGCAGUGGGUGCUGAGCAAAGAAAAGAGAAUAAACCACGCAACCCUGGCAGACACAACCAGCAUGGCCACCCGGAUUUCUAGCCUGCAGCUCCUGGCUCUUGUUUCUUCCCAUGAGACCAGAUCGCUCUCCAUGCUACUUUCUCAGAGCUCGCUGUAGACUUGCCUGUCUAUACAACCUAGCUUGGAUGGUUUGGCAGAGAGAGGGUGGUAGUUCUCUUUCCAUCUGUAUUCUCUCUUUCUUCUUCACUGACUGAUAUCCAGUUUUAUUCUCUAAGGAACAGCUAAAAUAAAAGUCAUGACCCCCAACCCCUUCUUGUAAUUAAAGUUGAUGGCAAGUAAUUUGUUGGGACUUCGAAGUCUCUUCAAGAAGGCAGACUCUCAUUUUCUUCUCACUGUGUGGAAAGCAGGUACGAUUGCUGGCUUUCCAACAACCACUUGUGGUCACACUAUAGCAUCAAGGUUAGAAUCUAGUGCUAAGCUUGGUGCAAUAGAGACAGAGAAGGAGCCUUGGGCUUCCUACCAAGCCCCGGUGCAUGCAUGCCACUACACAGGUUCUAAACACUUUCUAUUCAGCCCAGAGUUCCUUGAUUAGGGAAUGGUCUGGACCACAAUUAAUAUGGAUCUUCCCAUAUUACUAACUUAAUCAAGAUAACCCCUCACAGACAUUCUCAGAAGAUAUAAGCUUAAUAUGGAAAAUCUUUCAAAGGUGUGCCUGGGUGCCUCCUAAGAGUUAAGAUGGAACUAAUCAUCACAGAGCACAGUUGGAAGAAUUAAUAUUAGAUAUUUUUUUAAUUGUUAAUUUUUGUCUUUGAUAGAGAUUCCAUUGCUGUGAAGAGAUACCAUGACCAAGGCAACUCUUAUAAAGGAAAGCAUUUAACUGGAGCUGGCUUACAGUUUCAGAGGUUCAGUCCAUUAUCUUCAUGGGGGGAAGCAUGGCAGCAUGCAGGUAGACAUGGUGUUGGAGGAGCUGAGAGUUCUACAUCUUGGUCCAAAGGAGGAGGCUGGAAUUCUAUAGUAGGCUGAUCUUAUCUUCAAAGGCCACCUACACAGUGACAUAACUCCUCGAACAAGGCCACUUGUAAUGCCAUUCCUUGUGGGCCAAGCACUUAAACACUUUGAGUCUGUGGGGGCCAUUUCUAUUCAAACCACUGCAGUUUUCUUAAGACUAAUGAUAGCAUUUGGAUGCUUAUUCUUUUGGGGAUAUAUUUGCUUAAAUAUUAAGACGUGAAGUAUUAUGUUUACCUCUUGCUCUAAAAUCAAGAAUAGAUACAUAGACAGACAGACACAGACAUUUUCAUGCAUACGU